rnacentral:rRNA from 1 species
GACAGAGGAUGCAAGCGUUAUCCGGAAUGAUUGGGCGUAAAGCGUCUGUAGGUGGCUUUUUGAGUCUGCCGUCAAAUCCCAGGGCUUAACCCUGGACAGGCGGUGGAAACUACCAAGCUGGAGUACGGUAGGGGCAGAGGGAAUUUCCGGUGGAGCGGUGAAAUGCGUAGAGAUCGGAAAGAACACCAACGGCGAACGCACUCUGCUGGGCCGACACUGACACUGAGAGACGAAAGCUAGGGGAGCGAAUGGG